rnacentral:pre_miRNA from 1 species
AGACCAUUUGAAUUUUCGUCCCUGAAGUUACUAAUCCUUCCAAUAUGCCCCUGCAAAUAUUAAUCAUUUGACUUUUGAUCAUAAUUACAUCUGAUUAGUAACUUCAGUGAUGAAAAUUCAAGUGACCUAUAUUUGGAGGGAUGAAAGACCUAUUUAAGCAAACCACCUAGCCCAAUCAUCACUUGCCACAUGGGCACCACGUCGCUAAUGACAACCCACCUCACCAAAAAAACCUAAUUAGGAGCAAAAGUCAAAUGAUUAAUAUUUACGGGGGCAGAUUGAAAGGAUUAGUAACUUCAGGGACUAAAAUUCAAAUGACCUA